rnacentral:rRNA from 1 species
AGAGUUUGAUCCUGGCUCAGGACGAACGCUGGCGGCGUGGAUUAGGCAUGCAAGUCGAACGGUAUAAACCUUUCGGGGUUUAGAGAGUGGCGAACGGGUGAGUAACACGUAGGUAAUCUACCCUCAAAACGGGGACAACCCAGGGAAACUUGGGCUAAUACCGGAUGCGUGCAAGCAAUGUUUUGGCUGUUAAUGCUAUUCACGGAAGUGAGUAGUGUUAAUGGUUGAGAGCAUUAUUUGCAUAAAAGGUGGCAUAUGCUGCCGUUUGAGGAUGAGCCUGCGUCCUAUUAGUUAGUUGGUGAGGUAAUGGCUUACCAAGGCGAUGAUAGGUAGGCGGCCUUAACGGGUGGUCGCCCACACUGGGAUUGAGAGACGGCCCAGACUCCUACGGGAGGCAGCAGUCGAGAAUAGUCUACAAUGGACGGAAGUCUGAUAGUGCGACGCCGCGUGAACGAAGAAUCCCUUCGGGGUGUAAAGUUCUUUUAUACGUGAGCAGUGCCCUUUAUAUGAAUAGUAUAGAGGGAGGGAUUUAAGCGUAUGAAUAAGCAACGGCUAACUCCGUGCCAGCAGCCGCGGUAACACGGGGGUUGCAAGCGUUGUCCGGAAUUACUAGGCGUAAAGUGCAGGUAGGCGGAUAGAUAAGUUUAAGGUUAAAGGCUACGGCUUACCCGUAGUAAGGCGUUAGAUACUGUUUAUCUGGAAUGCGGUUGAGGGAGACAGAAUUCCUGGUGUAGCGGUGGAAUGCGCAGAGAUCAGGAGGAAUACCGAAGGCGAAGGCAGUCUUCUAAGCCGAUAUUGACGCUAAACUGCGAAGGUGUGGGGAUCAAACAGGAUUAGAUACCCUGGUAGUCCACACAGUAAACGAUAAUCACUAGGUGUUGGGUUCGUAUAGGACUCGGUGCCGGAGCUAACGCGAUAAGUGAUUCGCCUGGGGAGUACGAUCGCAAGGUUGAAACUCAAAUGAAUUGACGG